UACGUAGGGGGCAAGCGUUGUCCGGAAUCAUUGGGCGUAAAGAGCGUGUAGGCGGCCCGAUAAGUCCGCUGUGAAAGUCCAGGGCUCAACCCUGGGAUGCCGGUGGAUACUGUCGGGCUCGAGUCCGGAAGAGGAGUGUGGAAUUCCUGGUGUAGCGGUGAAAUGCGCAGAUAUCAGGAGGAACAGCCAAUGGCGAAGGCAGCACUCUGGGACGUGACUGACGCUGAGACGCGAAAGCGUGGGGAGCAAACAGG
rnacentral:rRNA from 1 species